AGUAACGGCGAGUGGGCGGCAAUAGCUCAAAUUUGAAAUCUGGCUCCUUUUAGGGGUCCGAGUUGUAAUUUGCAGAGGGUGCUUUGGCGUUGGUAGCGGUCUAAGUUCCUUGGAACAGGACAUCGCAGAGGGUGAGAAUCCCGUUUGUGGUCGCAUGCCUUCGCCGUGUAAAGCCCCUUCGACGAGUCGAGUUGUUUGGGAAUGCAGCUCUAAAUGGGAGGUAAAUUUCUUCUAAAGCUAAAUACUGGCCAGAGACCGAUAGCGCACAAGUAGAGUGAUCG
rnacentral:rRNA from 1 species